AUUGCAUUUCAAAUAAAUGUAAUUUGGCUUAUUUCUUCAAGCCAGCAAGCAAGGAAAAGACGAACAAAUUCCCAUGGUCAUUUCCUUCGUUUGUUACAGCAACAGCUGAAGUGGCGAGAAAAUGAAUAUGUUUCCUUGGCUUUUUUUUAUAAUGUGGUUUCAUUGAAUCCGCCAUCUUCUAAAAUGACGACAGGGUGAUCGGUGUGACCCAGGAACCGAGCCUUGCCACCGCCCCGGUGUAGAAAAUGUCUCCGUCAUCUCGUGAAUGGCCCAUUCCAGGCAUGGGGCAGAGUGGUGAGCCCCGGAUCACAGCCAAUCAGGUGUUUAGACCCGACUACUGCUUUCGUUUCGCAUUACGGCUGCUUUGGAAAAGUAUGGCAACAAAGCAUGAGGCAUUUUCUGGCGCUUAACUGACAAGAAAGAAAAAGGCUUUCUUCAUUCUGGCGCAAAAUUUUUAGGCAAGAGAUUCCUACAAGUCAUUUCCGUUCAUUGGCCUGUCUAAGAAAUGCUGUUUAUCUCUUGUCAGACAAAAAUGAAGCAUGGUACUCAAAAGGGCAGUUUUCUUCUCUGAAUGAACAUCCAGCAUAAGCAAGGAAAAAAGGUGUCAAAUCAGGCUUCAUCUCCGCUCAGUGACAUGGACGAUGAAGAAUUCAUUGUUGGGAAAAUUCUCGUCUGAGGAGAAGGAUGGGUAUUUGCUGAUAGGGAUUGGUGUUUCAAACAACAGAAAUACUUGGGAGCCCAAGAAAAUCUUUAUUGUCAUAAUUUCAUUGCAGCAUUCAAAAUCAAAUUUCUAUCGUUGAAUGAGAAUCCUGAAAACAAGCUAAGCCAUGAGAAGAAAAUUGUGAAGAAAGAAGAACUAAAGCACAGUUUUCUACGUGUCAUUAUGGAUGCCCAGUCUUACAACAGGAUUUGAUAGAAAUGUAGAGGUGGAGACAAUUUUUGGAGUGAGUGAUGAUGGUGAAGAAACUAUAUAGGUAGUUGUAGGGAUGUGUAAGGAAUGGUGGUUGUAGAGCAGGAGAGUCAUUCUUUUAUACAAACCAUUUCCAUUUUUAUUAUAAAUAGUCUUUUUAGCCGCUGAAUGUUGCUGGGACAUGAAAUAUUGGAAUUGUAGUGUCGACAUUUGGCA